rnacentral:rRNA from 1 species
GAUGAACGCUGGCGGCGUGCCUAAUACAUGCAAGUCGAGCGAACGGACGAGAAGCUUGCUUCUCUGAUGUUAGCGGCGGACGGGUGAGUAACACGUGGAUAACCUACCUAUAAGACUGGGAUAACUUCGGGAAACCGGAGCUAAUACCGGAUAAUAUUUUGAACCGCAUGGUUCAAAAGUAAAAGACGGUCUUGCUGUCACUUAUAGAUGGAUCCGCGCUGCAUUAGCUAGUUGGUAAGGUAACGGCUUACCAAGGCAACGAUGCAUAGCCGACCUGAGAGGGUGAUCGGCCACACUGGAACUGAGACACGGUCCAGACUCCUACGGGAGGCAGCAGUAGGGAAUCUUCCGCAAUGGGCGAAAGCCUGACGGAGCAACGCCGCGUGAGUGAUGAAGGUCUUCGGAUCGUAAAACUCUGUUAUUAGGGAAGAACAUAUGUGUAAGUAACUGUGAACAUCUUGACGGUACCUAAUCAGAAAGCCACGGCUAACUACGUG